UCUAAAAAACACUAGACAUAGUUAAAGAGUACUCUGUACUCUCCUUCUUAUGUGAUGUUUCUUUUGAGCUGGAAUCGGCAUCUUCAAGCAAGCUCCAUCCUUGAUUGUUGUUAGAAUGUCUCUAUCUAUCGUCUUCCUUAGCCUCUGGUGGUGGAUUGAAAUUGAAGCUCACUGUUGACUCUGGACUGUGGUGGUGGGACGCAAGACCCCUCUUUCUGGUGAAGGUUUUGGUAGCUAUGGGAACUAGCUAGGUUAGGAUCUUGUCCUGAUAGAUCAAAGUGUUCUUUUUUUCUCUCGGCAUAUAACUAUUGGGGUCCCUUUUAUGAUUCUCUACAUAUGUAUCUUCUUCCUUCCCCUGCUUUUGCUUUUCUGUUUCAUUGGCUGUUUAUUCUUCGUGUCCUAAUCCUAAGGUUAGGAAUUUGAGCCUUGUCCAUGUUUAUGUGUUUCCUUAUAUGUGCUGGUAG